UAGGGAAUCUUCGGCAAUGGACGAAAGUCUGACCGAGCAACGCCGCGUGAGUGAAGAAGGUUUUCGGAUCGUAAAACUCUGUUGUUAGAGAAGAACAAGGACGUUAGUAACUGAACGUCCCCUGACGGUAUCUAACCAGAAAGCCACGGCUAACUACGUGCCAGCAGCCGCGGUAAUACGUAGGUGGCAAGCGUUGUCCGGUUUUAUUGGGCGUAAAGCGAGCGCAGGCGGUUUCUUAAGUCUGAUGUGAAAGCCCCCGGCUCAACCGGGGAGGGUCAUUGGAAACUGGGAGACUUGAGUGCAGAAGAGGAGAGUGGAAUUCCAUGUGUAGCGGUGAAAUGCGUAGGUAUAUGGAGGAACACCAGUGGCGAAGGCGGCUCUCUGGUCUGUAACUGACGCUGAGGCUCGAAAGCGUGGGGAGCAAACAGG
rnacentral:rRNA from 1 species